rnacentral:rRNA from 1 species
AUACGGAGGGUGCAAGCGUUGUUCGGAAUCAUUGGGCGUAAAGCGCGCGCAGGCGGCCUAUUAAGUCUGAUGUGAAAGCCCGAGGCUCAACCUCGGAGGUGCAUUGGAAACUGGUAGGCUUGAGUCCGAGAGAGGUUAGUGGAAUUCGUGGUGUAGGGGUGAAAUCCGUAGAUAUCACGAGGAACACCAGUGGCGAAGGCGACUGACUAGAUCGGAACUGACGCUGAGGCGCGAAAGCGUGGGUAGCAAACAGGAUUAGAUACCCUGGUAGUCCACGCCGUAAACGAUGUUCACUAGUUGCUGGCUCAAUUGAGAGUCCGUGACGAAGCUAACGCAUUAAGUGAACCGCCUGGGGAGUACGGCCGCAAGGUUAAA